rnacentral:rRNA from 1 species
AUUGAACGCUGGCGGCAUGCCUUACACAUGCAAGUCGAACGGCAGCACGGGUGCUUGCACCUGGUGGCGAGUGGCGAACGGGUGAGUAAUACAUCGGAACAUGUCCUGUAGUGGGGGAUAGCCCGGCGAAAGCCGGAUUAAUACCGCAUACGAUCUACGUAUGAAAGCGGGGGACCUUCGGGCCUCGCGCUAUAGGGUUGGCCGAUAGCUGAUUAGCUAGUUGGUGGGGUAAAGGCCUACCAAGGCGACGAUCAGUAGCUGGUCUGAGAGGACGACCAGCCACACUGGGACUGAGCCACGGCCCAGACUCCUACGGGAGGCAGCAGUGGGGAAUUUUGGACAAUGGGCGAAAGCCUGAUCCAGCAAUGCCGCGUGUGUGAAGAAGGCCUUCGGGUUGUAAAGCACUUUUGUCCGGAAAGAAAUCCUUGGCUCUAAUACAGUCGGGGGAUGACGGUACCGGAAGAAUAAGCACCGGCUAACUACGUG